GUAGCUGCAGUUAGCUUUCCUUCUGCGAGGUAUCAGCAUCGUCCUCCUUGGUGGGCUAUGAGAUGUUUAUCAGUGGUACCAGGAGGUGGGAAGCCAAUCUCUUCGUGACCACUGAGCUUCCCCACACAUGGACAAGCCUAGAGCUGAAUGGAGAGGACCCAAGACUGAAGGCAAUAGAAGCCCAAGUCCACCCAAUCCUACAGCUGUCACAAAAAGAAGCAAGCUGCAGAAUGAGGUAGCUAUGUCGCUUUCUCCAGUACAAUUCAGAAGACCAUGCAGCCUUCAGUUAUGUCCACACCUUAGGAUGCUGAAGAGGGAAGCAUCUGCUCUUUGCCUGCUCGCCCUCGUUUUCACUGGAAGUUCAUUCCCUCACUGGCAUUAGAGCCUACUUCUGGAUUCUGAAUAUACUGAAGAACAGCAGAGACAUCCAGCCUCCAGGACUGAAUAACUACUGGAUUCUUGGACUUUCUUUCCAUCAGGAGAUAGCCAUUGUUGAACUCGCCAGAUCACAGCCUGAAAGCCACUC